ACGGGUGCGUAACGCGUGGGAAUCUGCCCUUGGGUUCGGAAUAACAGUGAGAAAUUACUGCUAAUACCGGAUGAUGUCGAAAGACCAAAGAUUUAUCGCCCAAGGAUGAGCCCGCGUAGGAUUAGCUAGUUGGUGAGGUAAGAGCUCACCAAGGCGACGAUCCUUAGCUGGUCUGAGAGGAUGAUCAGCCACACUGGGACUGAGACACGGCCCAGACUCCUACGGGAGGCAGCAGUGGGGAAUAUUGGACAAUGGGCGAAAGCCUGAUCCAGCAAUGCCGCGUGAGUGAUGAAGGCCUUAGGGUUGUAAAGCUCUUUUACCCGGGAUGAUAAUGACAGUACCGGGAGAAUAAGCCCCGGCUAACUCCGUGCCAGCAGCCGCGGUAAUACGGAGGGGGCUAGCGUUAUUCGGAAUUACUGGGCGUAAAGCGCACGUAGGCGGCUUUGUAAGUCAGAGGUGAAAGCCUGGAGCUCAACUCCAGAACUGCCUUUGAGACUGCAUCGCUUGAAUCCAGGAGAGGUGAGUGGAAUUCCGAGUGUAGAGGUGAAAUUCGUAGA
rnacentral:rRNA from 1 species